rnacentral:tRNA from 1 species
GCAGGGGUAGCGAAGCUUGGUCAAAAGCUUUUCUUUCAGGGAAAGAAAACCUUGGAAAAGAAAGGCUGACUAGACGCGACAGGUUCAGGGCCUGUUCUCUUAGGAGUUCGGGGGUUCAAAUCCCUCCCCCUGCA